rnacentral:rRNA from 1 species
UGUUUCGGCUAGGGGGCCAUCCCGGCUUACCAACCCGAUGCAAACUGCGAAUACCGGAGAAUGUUAUCACGGGAGACACACGGCGGGUGCUAACGUCCGUCGUGAAGAGGGAAACAACCCAGACCGCCAGCUAAGGUCCCAAAGUCAUGGUUAAGUGGGAAACGAUGUGGGAAGGCCCAGACAGCCAGGAUGUUGGCUUAGAAGCAGCCAUCAUUUAAAGAAAGCGUAAUAGCUCACUGGUCGAGUCGGCCUGCGCGGAAGAUGUAACGGGGCUAAACCAUGCACCGAAGCUGCGGCAGCGACACUCAGGUGUUGUUGGGUAGGGGAGCGUUCUGUAAGCCUGCGAAGGUGGCCUGUGAGGGUUGCUGGAGGUAUCAGAAGUGCGAAUGCUGACAUAAGUAACGAUAAAGCGGGUGAAAAGCCCGCUCGCCGGAAGACCAAGGGUUCCUGUCCAACGUUAAUCGGGGCAGGGUGAGUCGACCCCUAAGGCGAGGCCGAAAGGCGUAGUCGAUGGGAAACGGGUUAAUAUUCCCGUACUUGGUGUUACUGCGAAGGGGGGACGGAGAAGGCUAUGUUGGCCGGGCGACGGUUGUCCCGGUUUAAGCGUGUAGGUGUGUGUUCCAGGUAAAUCCGGUUCACUUUAACACUGAGGCGUGAUGACGAGGCACUACGGUGCUGAAGCAACAAAUGCCCUGCUUCCAGGAAAAGCCUCUAAGCAUCAGGUAACAUCAAAUCGUACCCCAAACCGACACAGGUGGUCAGGUAGAGAAUACCAAGGCGCUUGAGAGAACUCGGGUGAAGGAACUAGGCAAAAUGGUGCCGUAACUUCGGGAGAAGGCACGCUGACACGUAGGUGAAGUGAUUUACUCAUGGAGCUGAAGUCAGUCGAAGAUACCAGCUGGCUGCAACUGUUUAUUAAAAACACAGCACUGUGCAAACACGAAAGUGGACGUAUACGGUGUGACGCCUGCCCGGUGCCGGAAGGUUAAUUGAUGGGGUCAGCGCAAGCGAAGCUCCUGAUCGAAGCCCCGGUAAACGGCGGCCGUAACUAUAACGGUCCUAAGGUAGCGAAAUUCCUUGUCGGGUAAGUUCCGACCUGCACGAAUGGCGUAAUGAUGGCCAGGCUGUCUCCACCCGAGACUCAGUGAAAUUGAACUCGCUGUGAAGAUGCAGUGUACCCGCGGCAAGACGGAAAGACCCCGUGAACCUUUACUAUAGCUUGACACUGAACAUUGAGCCUUGAUGUGUAGGAUAGGUGGGAGGCUUUGAAGCGUGGACGCCAGUCUGCGUGGAGCCGACCUUGAAAUACCACCCUUUAAUGUUUGAUGUUCUAACGUGGACCCGUAAUCCGGGUUGCGGACAGUGUCUGGUGGGUAGUUUGACUGGGGCGGUCUCCUCCUAAAGAGUAACGGAGGAGCACGAAGGUUGGCUAAUCCUGGUCGGACAUCAGGAGGUUAGUGCAAUGGCAUAAGCCAGCUUGACUGCGAGCGUGACGGCGCGAGCAGGUGCGAAAGCAGGUCAUAGUGAUCCGGUGGUUCUGAAUGGAAGGGCCAUCGCUCAACGGAUAAAAGGUACUCCGGGGAUAACAGGCUGAUACCGCCCAAGAGUUCAUAUCGACGGCGGUGUUUGGCACCUCGAUGUCGGCUCAUCACAUCCUGGGGCUGAAGUAGGUCCCAAGGGUAUGGCUGUUCGCCAUUUAAAGUGGUACGCGAGCUGGGUUUAGAACGUCGUGAGACAGUUCGGUCCCUAUCUGCCGU